GACCGCUCCGGUGGCCUAGUGGUUAGAGAGUACACCUCGGAUGCGGAAGUCUCGGGUUCGAGCCCCGGCCGAGUCA